UACGGGAGGCAGCAGUGGGGAAUAUUGCACAAUGGGCGCAAGCCUGAUGCAGCCAUGCCGUCGUGUAUGUAAGAAGGCCUUCGGGUUGUAAAGUACUUUCAGCAGUGAGGAAGGUGGGUAUGUUAAUAGCAUAUUCAUUUGACGUUAGCUGCAGAAGAAGCACCGGCUAACUCCGUGCCAGCAGCCGCGGUAAUACGGAGGGUGCGAGCGUUAAUCGGAAUUACUGGGCGUAAAGCGCAUGCAGGUGGUUUGUUAAGUCAGAUGUGAAAGCCCGGGGCUCAACCUCGGAAUUGCAUUUGAAACUGGCAAACUAGAGUACUGUAGAGGGGGUAGAAUUUCAGGUGUAGCGGUGAAAUGCGUAGAGAUCUGAAGGAAUACCGGUGGCGAAGGCGGCCCCCUGGACAGAUACUGACACUCAGAUGCGAAAGCGUGGGGAGCAAACAGGAUUAGAUACCCUGGUAG
rnacentral:rRNA from 1 species